GGCGAUCAGAUACCGCCCUAGUUCAGACCGUAAACGAUGCCAUCUGGCGAUCCGCCGGCGUUAUGUUUGACCCGGCGGGCAGCCACCGGUAAACCUUUAAGUUGGGUUCCGGGGGAAGUAUGGUUGCAAAGCUGAAACUUAAAGGAAUUGACGGAAGGGCACCACCAGGAGUGGAGCCUGCGGCUUAAUUUGACUCAACACGGGGAAACUCACCCGGCCCGGACACCGUAAGGAUUGACAGAUUGAGAGCUCUUUCUUGAUUCGGUGGGUGGUGGUGCAUGGCCGUUCUUAGUUGGUGGAGCGAUUUGUCUGGUUUAUUCCGAUAACGAACGAGACUCUAGCCUACUAAAUAGACACUGGUUCUUUGGACCGGUGAACUUCUUAGAGGGACAAGCGACGUUUAGUCGCACGAGAUUGAGCAAUAACAGGUCUGUGAUGCCCUUAGAUGUCCGGGGCUGCACGCGCGCUACACUGAAGGCAUCAUCAUGUUUCUUUUCCUACCCCGGAAGGGGCGGGUAACCCGAUGAAACGCCUUCGUGAUUGGGAUAGGGACUUGCAAUUAUUUCCCUUGAACGAGGAAUUCCUAGUAAGUGCGAGUCAUCAGCUCGCGCUGAUUACGUCCCUGCCCUUUGUA
rnacentral:rRNA from 1 species